CACCCGUGUGCGGGAGAGCUCCGUGGCAGCCGGUCACGGACGCCGAAGGAGCAACACCUCUCCGUCAACCUCUCAGGCACCCAGGACCGCCCACGGCCA
rfam:Mycobacterium sp. 852013-51886_SCH5428379 contig_9, whole genome shotgun sequence.